AUGCAUCUAUUUGACAGACCUGGAGCAGCUAAUGUCUGCUUCUAAGGUUCACUACGGAUGCAAGGAGAAGGAUCCUCACGCUUUCUGUCUGUCUGAUUGUGGCAGCCAAGACUGAAUGGGGAAAUACAGGA